rnacentral:rRNA from 1 species
UGGAAACUGUNUGACUUGAGUGCAGAAGGGGAGAGUGGAAUUCCAUGUGCAGCGGUGAAAUGCGUAGAUAUAUGGAGGAACACCAGUGGCGAAAGCGGCUCUCUGGUCUGUCACUGACGCUGAGGCUCGAAAGCGUGGGUAGCGAACAGGAUUAGAUACCCUGGUAGUCCACGCCGUAAACGAUGAGUGCUAGGUGUUAGGCCCUUUCCGGGGCUUAGUGCCGGAGCUAACGCAAUAAGCACUCCGCCUGGGGAGUACGACCGCAAGGUUGAAACUCAAAGGAAUUGACGGGGGCCCGCACAAGCGGUGGAGCAUGUGGUUUAAUUCGAAGCAACGCGAAGAACCUUACCAGGUCUUGACAUCCCGAUGCUAUUCUUAGAGAUAGGAAGUUACUUCGGUACAUCGGAGACAGGUGGUGCAUGGUUGUCGUCAGCUCGUGUCGUGAGAUGUUGGGUUAAGUCCCGCAACGAGCGCAACCCUUAUUGUUAGUUGCCAUCAUUAAGUUGGGCACUCUAGCGAGACUGCCGGUAAUNUACCGGAGGAAGGUGGGGAUGACGUCAAAUCAUCAUGCCCCUUAUGACCUGGGCUACACACGUGCUACAAUGGUCGGUACAACGAGUUGCGAGCCGGUGACGGCAAGCUAAUCUCUGAAAGCCGAUCUCAGUUCGGAUUGGAGGCUGCAACUCGCCUCCAUGAAGUCGGAAUCGCUAGUAAUCGCGGAUCAGCACGCCGCGGUGAAUACGUUCCCGGGCCUUGUACACACCGCCCGUCACACCACGAGAGUUUGUAACACCCGAAGUCGGUGAGGUAACCUUUUAGGGGC